rnacentral:rRNA from 1 species
UACGUAGGGUGCGAGCGUUAAUCGGAAUUACUGGGCGUAAAGCGUGCGCAGGCGGUUCGUCGUGUCUGUCGUGAAAGCCCCGGGCUUAACCUGGGAAUGGCGAUGGAAACUGGCGAGCUUGAGUGCGGCAGAGGGGGGUGGAAUUCCGCGUGUAGCAGUGAAAUGCGUAGAGAUGCGGAGGAACACCGAUGGCGAAGGCAGCCCCCUGGGUCGACACUGACGCUCAGGCACGAAAGCGUGGGGAGCAAACAGG